rnacentral:rRNA from 1 species
CGAAGGGGGCUAGCGUUGCUCGGAAUUACUGGGCGUAAAGGGCGCGUAGGCGGACAUUUAAGUCAGAGGUGAAAGCCCAGGGCUCAACCUUGGAAUUGCCUUUGAUACUGGAUGUCUUGAGUUCGGGAGAGGUGAGUGGAAUGCCGAGUGUAGAGGUGAAAUUCGUAGAUAUUCGGCGGAACACCAGUGGCGAAGGCGACUCACUGGCCCGAUACUGACGCUGAGGCGCGAAAGCGUGGGGAGCAAACAGGAUUAGAUACCCUGGUAGUCCACGCUGUAAACGAUGAGUGCUAGUUGUCGGCAUGCAUGCAUGUCGGUGACGCAGCUAACGCAUUAAGCACUCCGCCUGGGGAGUACGGUCGCAAGAUUA